AAAACAGUUAAAGGUAGGAAGAUUUACCAUUAAAACCAGCAUGUCAUAUUUAUCAUUAGAAUCAUUCUAUACCAUCUCUGGGAAGACUUCAAGCAUCUGGAAUCUUUAAUGCAUAGAGAUAACAAGUCAUGUCUGGGCAGCCAGCCUAGUUCUGUACAUAUACAGUUCUGGUAUUAGCUGAUUGUGCCGUGUUUAAGAUUCAGAAAACAUCAAGUUAUAUUUAACAAUUGGCCUGCAUUCAGCGGCAUUCUGACUACAAACAAAGCUGACAGAUAUGGGAUGAUUAUGUGGGUGCUGGAGAUAAAAUGGACCAAUUUAUUUAACUUAGAGCUUUUUACUGUCAUCGAAACUAAACAAACUUGUAUCCCUGCUUUUCACUGCAAUGGAACGUAUUUUAUUAAACGCAGUAAAUGUCACAAACCAUGGGAAACAGCUUAACAUGUAUCUUUUGGAACAACCAAGAGUUGGUUUUAGGCUUUCAAUAAAAUUUGACCAGGUUGGUUUUUAAAACAAAGAUUGCUAACUAAAAGCUUGAUUCCGCUCUUGCCGGAAGCUCGUGAGAAAUGUGCUUCUGGAACAUUCUGAAAAGAACACUUUCAUUUAAUUUCUGAACUAUGUUAUUCCAGCCUCCUAAGGGCUCUCCAACUAAAGUAAAAUGUUUCUCUAGUUCUGGUUCAGCAAGAACCUCUUGAAGAAAAAAAAGUCAUCUAGGUUAAAAAAAAUCACUGGUCUAAUUUUUCUUGCGUCUCGUUCUACUAUUUCAGAAGCCCUUAAGAGCUAAAAGAGAUGUGAGAAGGUGUAUAUUGGGGCACGGUGAGAGCCUUUUGACGCACACAUUUACACUUAACCUUUCUGGCUGUGACAUAAAACUGGGCUGCACAUUGUUAAGGCCUCUGCUAAGGUUAAUAGAUGUUUUUUUUAAUAUUCCUGAUGUGCGUUUCCAGUAGUCAGUACAUUGUUUUCACACUCUGUGUGCAGCAGUGGAAGUUACAUAUCCCACGAUAAAAAUAUGCCCAAAAUGUGCCCCAUUGCCAUUCUCCGUCCAAUAAGAUUGUUACUGUCCCAUUUCUACUUUUGAGAUGGUAACUAUGUUUCUGGUCUCCCUGUACGCUUGUUUAAAGUGGAGACAGAGAACGACUGAAAACCCUUUAGAGACACUUGUGUUCUUGCUUUAAUUUAACAUAAAACAGCCUUUUAUGUAAUCCAAGCUGGUUCUAAAACCUAACAAAUGACAAUAAAUAUAUAUUAGAGCGCCUCCAUUUUCUUUGUCCAUGGAGCCAUGGAGAAUGGAAACCCAGUGAUUGAAUGAGGAAAUGCAUAGUCUCUUCUGACACCUGAGAUUACUGUAAAAUAGAAUCAAAGGACCUAGAAGAAACAGAUAAUAGGGUUAAAGGAACGCUAUAGCGUUUGGAAUACAAAUAUAGUGUCCCUCUCUCUACCCACCCCCUCUACAUUUACAGUUUACAGUAAAAAUUAGAAAAAUGAUUUACCUUUUUUCAGCACUCCCCCAGUGCUGCGUAGCUCUUUACUUUGUGAUGUCACAUAAUAGGCAUGGCCUCCUCAGCCUCUGUCCAAUGCAAUGCUCCUCAAAAAGGAGAAUUGGGAACUUAAUGCACAUGCAUGAAUAAUGCUAGGAGCAUUCACACUUCCCCACAGGAAAGCAUUGAAUCAAUUUCCUAUGGGGCUUCCAGGUCAUGUGACUGAAGUUUUACUCAAUCAGUGCAGCGGAAGCUCUUUUAGUGGCUGCCAUAUUUACAGCCACUAGAGGUGUACUUAACCCUGCAAUAUAAACAUUGCAGUUUCUCAAAAACAUCAGUAUUUAACAUUGCAGGGUUAAGCGGACAGGGACGCUGCACAUAGACCUCUUCAAUGAGAUUAAAAGAUCUGGGUGACUAUAGUGUUCCUUUAAUGAACAUAUAUCUGAGAACCGUUACAAGGCCCAAAGCGUAUUUGUAUAUCCAUCUAUCUUGUUUAUAGCCAGGUUUUCUCUAUUUGUAGAUAAUGGCUUUCUAACUCUUUCAAGACUGAUAUAUCUUAUUUUUUUCUAAUUUCUUACGUAAUUUUUUUUGAUGAUGGCACAGUGUACCUGCUUCUGGAGAACUUGUAGCCUGUUUCACAGGGAGGACGAGCAAGGAUCUUAAACUACUAGUGGGAGAGUUACUGAUAUAUAAAUAAAUAAUAAACAUGCAUAAGUUAAUAGGUUAACUGAUAAAUUUCUUUAUUGUGUUUAAAUGCAUUUGGUGUGUUUAAAAAAAAAAAAAAAGUGUUGUGAAUAUGACAAUACUCGAAAUAUGACCUAUCUUUGGGGGGUCCGUUUCAGAUAAUGCUGUUACAGGGUAACUCCAACCAAAAACAGCAUUUUAAAGAAAACCCUUGCAAUUUCCCCUCUUUAAAAAAUAAACAAAAAAAAAAAACUAUAAAUUUACCUGCAAUCCCUGAGUGCUCCGUGAAGUCUGAUCCAUUUCCGUUGAAGUCACUCCUCACUGCAACAGUAGGGAUAUCCCAGAUGACAGACUAAGUGGAGGACUUAUGAUAGCAGGGGAGAUAGUUCAACUUUUCUACAAUUAUUUAAAUCUUUGAUCAAAUGCCUUUGUUUAAUCCUUAAAGGGACACUAUAGUCACCUGAACAACUUUAGCUUAAUGAAGCAGUUUUGGUGUAUAGAACAUGCCCCUGCAGCCUCAAUGCUCAAUCCUCUACCAUUUAGGAGUUAAAUCCCUUUGUUUAUGAACUAUAGUCACGCCUCCCUGCAUGUGACUUGCACAGCCUUCCAUAAACACUUCCUGUAAAGAGAGCCCUAUUAAGGUUUUCUUUAUUGCAAGUUCUGUUUAAUUAAGAUUUUCUUAUCCCCUGCUAUGUUAAUAGCUUGCUAGACCCUGCAAGAGCCUCCUGUAUGUGAUUAAAGUUCAAUUUAGAGAUUGAGAUACAAUUAUUUAAGGUAAAUUACAUCUGUUUGAAAGUGAAACCAGUUUUUUUUUCAUGCAGGCUCUGUCAAUCAUAGCCAGGGGAGGUGUGGCUAGGGCUGCAUAAACAGAAACAAAGUGAUUUAACUCCUAAAUGACAGUGAAUUGAGCAGUGAAAUUGCAGGGUAAUGAUCUAUACACUAAAACUGCUUUAUUUAGCUAAAGUAAUUUAGGUGACUAUAGUGUUCCUUUAAAUCAUUGCUUUAGGACAUUGCUCUAUGUCAUUAUUAUUAUUAUUUUUAUUAUUUUAUUAUUUUUUCUUCUUUAACACAUUUUGCAAAAGACAGGGUGCACAUUUUUAUAAUGCAUGUAUAAAGUAUUCAACAUAAAAUACAGGACAUUAUGAACAGUCUCUGUUGCUAAGGCAAAUGUACAUUGACCCAUAGUUUUUUUUUAUAUGCAAUUCUAACCACUGGUCCGCAUGGAGACUAUCACUUUUUUAUUUUUACUUUUUGGUGAUUUAUAAAUAUUUUUUGCUGUUAUUUCAUUCAUGUAUUUAUUAUUUGAGCACUUGUCUAGUUCCAUUAAUUCCUUAAAUAGGUUUUCUGGAAAUUGUUGUUUAAUCCCAGUAUCUACAGCUUUGGGUUAUCCCCAUAAUACAAGUCCUCUAAACAUGACAUGUGUUCCCCUCAAAAAGGGGGAACCAAUUUCUAUUUGUAUCACUCCAAAAAAAACAUGGAAACAGUGAGUAGCUGUAGAGUCAAAUAAGCAUCAUAGCUUGAUGUAUUCAACAAAAUAGGAAGAAAAUGUGGUGGUGAGAAAUUCCACAAUUCAUGACUCAAUGCUCUCAGCCAAUCAAUGCCAUCCAGGGUGGACAAAAUUGACGUUGAUAAUGCGAAAAUGUUAAUUCCACAUUAUCAAUGUGAACGUUCUUGAAUUGUUUGAUAUGAUUUUUGGGGGGGAAGGAGUGCCAGAGGACUCUACAGUGAUUCCUAACACUAACUAGUUUUGCUAUUCCUAAAUGCUACCUCUACGUUAACCCUUGCUACUCCCAGUGUUCCGUUCUGAAGAAUUUGACAAAGCAGAAUUGGAGGCAGAGAGAAGCCGUGCUGGAGAGGAACCUUUGGAUUACACCAUUUGUGAACGGUUUAAUCACUAAAGGUAACCUAGAGCCCAGGACCUCCUGGCAACAUAGCAAUUCCAUUUUGAUGAAGUUGUUAUGGUGCCCAAACUAUUCCUUUAACCUGUUCCUUUAAUCUUGAAUACUGUCUAAAUAAUUGCCACAACGCUGAUCUCCAAAUGCCACCUUUAACCUUAAAUACUGCCCUAAAAUUUAAUGAUCAAUCGACCCCUAUGCGUCUUAUAUCGAUACAAAGGAACACUUGUCUAAAUAACCUUCAGUUUUAUCAAAUCCUUUUCCAGCUUUAUUUUGUGCAGUUGGCUAAAUAAAGAAACUUGGGAAUGCGCAGAAGAUAUGCCAAAACAUUUCUUGUAUCCCACUUCACUAGUCACCAAAUCCCCUUUCCCUAGUGAGAGAAAAAAAUACAACCAUGUAUCUGUUGUGAGCUUAGAGCAACUGGUUCUUUGGCAGUUACCUUGAAUGUCAUCUGCUUAAACACAAAAUUAAUAUUCUCAUUUCAUAGUAAAAAAAAAAACACUUAACACUAGGAGGUCUAAUAACGACACUUGCAAAUCAAUUCAUGCAUAUUUAUAAAUAUCCUACAUCCAUAGGUGUGUAUAUAAAUUUAAAAACAACAACAUGAUAAUAUAUAAUUAUAGUAAAACAUGUAAUGAAAAAAAAUGCUUCACAACAAAUGUAUAAUUUUCCUACAGGAAGAAAUGACUUUGUAAAGAUUUCUAAAGCAACUCACACUGAGAAUAUUCAGCUCAGCUUUAAGACGUCUAAACCUGGCCAUACAAGAGAUAGUAUUAUUCUUUGUGAAAAGUAUCAUUAUUCAUGUGAUCCUAAGCUUUAGUUUGGCGGGCACACAAACAUCCUUUAAUAUCCCAGGACUUGGCUCAAAACACUGUGCUAAGGUAGGGUUGUGUCUGUCUCUGUCAGAUCACAAGCUGUGUAUAACAUACUGUAAGUCUAAGAAUGCCAGUGUGAAGUGCAAUGCUUGGACUGUUACUCAAAGUAUAUAUAUAUAUACACUGAGUUCAAAAUAUCCGCUCUCCAGUAGCCAUUGGCUAGUGAAUAUUCACCCCGUAUUGUCGAAAUUCACCGCUGGACUGUGUGCCAUGGACCCAUCAGGAUUGCAGUGGCGAGUAAGUUUAAACCUGGCUUUUAGCCUAAAAAUUUGAAUUUAACUUUACUGCUUACAUGUCACAAUUUAAAAAAUAUAAUACAAUAUAAUAAUAAAAAUAUAUAUAUAUAUAUAUAUAUAUAUAUAUAUAUAUAUCUAGUGUAAAACCAGUUUUAUUAUAUAUUUUUUAAAUUGUGACAUGUGAGCAGAAAUGUUAAAGCUGUAUGGUUUAGUAUAGUACAUCAUCAAAUUAAGAUCCUAACCCCAAGGCUAAGCUUUUGAUUGGUCAGUGGGCUUUGUUGUUAGAAUGUUGAGAGCUCUGAUCUAAUUUCUUCUUUAUGUCCCAGUUCUGUGCAGAUGAUAUCCAUUUUCAUUACUGUGACGAGGAGUUACCUGCAGGAUAUAUUAUUUUUUCCGGGACUCUUUCUUCUGCAAACUGUAUCUAUUUCUGUAAUGUCAAGAACUUCGUCUAGCCUGGAUCGAAGUCAAAAAUGAAAAGAGAAAUUGUGGUUAUAGUUCCACUAAAGAACACUUAUCAAAACUUUGUACUGC